rnacentral:rRNA from 1 species
AGGUCUANCCUGCCCAAUGAGGAAUUAAAUGGCCGCAGUAUUUUGACUGUGCAAAGGUAGCAUAAUUAUUAGUUUUUUAAUUGAAAGCUUGUAUGAAGGGUUGGACGAGAUAAAAUCUGUCUUUAUUUAAAUUACAAUAGAAUUUAACUUUUAAGUCAAAAGGCUUAAAUGCAUAUAAAAGACGAGAAGACCCUAUAGAUCUUUAUUUAAUUAAUAUUUUGAUAAUUUAAGAUUAUUUUAGUUUAAAGUUUUAAUUAAAUUUUAUUGGGGUAAUAUAGAGAUUAAAUAAAUUCUUUUUAUUUAUUACAUUGAUUUAUGAAUAUAUGAUCCAAUAUUAUUGAUUAUAAGAUUAAGUUACCUUAGGGAUAACAGCGUAAUUUUUUUGGAGAGCUCAUAUCGAUAAAAAAGUUUGCGACCUCGAUGUUGGAUUAAAAAUUAGCUUGGGUGCAGAAGCUCAAGAUUUUGGUCUGUUCGACCAUUAAAUUUUUACAUGAUCUGAGUUCAGACCGGCGUAAGCCAGGUCGGUUUCUAUCUUUAUUUAUCUAAAAUAUUUUAGUACGAAAGGACCAAAUAUUUAAUAUAAUUAUAUUUCUUUUUUGAAUAAUAUU